AAUGUUACAUUUUGCUAUAGUGUAGUAUCUGUUCUUAUCAGUUUAAUAUCUGAUAUGUCCCCUAUUCAGGGGCUAUAUGUUUAAAUGUAAAUUUAGUUUUUGUAACAGUGAGAUGGAAUAGGGUUUUGCUCAACACAUCAGUCUUGUAUUGUGUCUAUGGAGUUUUGCGAGUCCAUGUUAAUCCAGUUCCCUC